GACGAACGCUGGCGGCGUGCUUAACACAUGCAAGUCGAACGGGAUAAUUUGAGAGCUUGCUCUUAGAGAAUCUAGUGGCAAACGGGUGAGUAACACGUAGACAACCUGCCGACAGGAUGGGGACAACAUUCCGAAAGGAAUGCUAAUACCGAAUGAAGCGGAGGAGAGGCAUCUCUCCUCCGUGAAAGAUGGCCUCUGAAUAUGCUAUCACCUGUCGAUGGGUCUGCGUCUGAUUAGCUAGUUGGUGAGGUAACGGCUCACCAAGGCGACGAUCAGUAGCCGGUCUGAGAGGAUGAACGGCCACAUUGGGACUGAGACACGGCCCAGACUCCUACGGGAGGCAGCAGUGGGGAAUCUUCCGCAAUGGGCGCAAGCCUGACGGAGCAACGCCGCGUGAGUGAAGAAGGUCUUCGGGUCGUAAAGCUCUGUUGACGGGGACGAACGUGCGAAGGGUGAAUAGUCCUUUGUAAUGACGGUACCUGUCGAGGAAGCCACGGCUAACUACGUA
rnacentral:rRNA from 1 species